GCCGACGUGGCGGAAUUGGUAGACGCGCUAGCUUGAGGGGUUAGUGGGGCAACCCGUGUCGGUUCGAGUCCGACCGUCGGCACCA
rnacentral:tRNA from 1 species